AUACGAAAGGUGCGAGCGUUGUUCGGAUUUACUGGGCGUAAAGCGAGUGUAGGUGGUUUGUUAAGUCGGAUGUGAAAUCCCGGGGCUCAACCUCGGAACUGCAUUCGAUACUGGCAGGCUUGAGUUCGGGAGGGGUAAGCGGAAUUCCGUGUGUAGCAGUGAAAUGCGUAGAUAUACGGAGGAACACCUGAGGCGAAGGCGGCUUACUGGACCGAUACUGACACUGAGACUCGAAAGCGUGGGUAGCAAACAGGAUUAGAUACCCUAGUAGUCC
rnacentral:rRNA from 1 species